UGGGGAAUAUUGCGCAAUGGGCGAAAGCCUGACGCAGCGACGCCGCGUGAGGGAUGAAGGUUUUCGGAUCGUAAACCUCUGUCAGAAGGGAAGAAACCGCACUGUGCUAAUCAGCAGUGCCUUGACGGUACCUUCAAAGGAAGCACCGGCUAACUCCGUGCCAGCAGGCGCGGUAAUACGGAGGGUGCAAGCGUUAAUCGGAAUUACUGGGCGUAAAGCGCACGUAGGCUGCUUUUUAAGUCAGGGGUGAAAUCCCACGGCUCAAACGUGGAACUGCCGUUGAUACUGCUUAGCUUGAAUCCGGGAGAGGGUGGCGGAAUUCCAGGGGGAGGAGUGAAAUCCGUAGAUAUCUGGAGGAACAUCAGUGGCGAAGGCGGCCACCUGGACCGGUAUUGACGCUGAGGUGGGAAAGCGUGGGGAGCAAACAGG
rnacentral:rRNA from 1 species